AUGGCGUCGAGGAGCAGCACCGACGACACGAAGGAAAAUGCCGUGCAAGUGUCGGUGGAUGCCAAACUGACGGUGGCCGCAGGCCGUGGCAACUGUCAGCAGUUGAAGGAUCUGCUGAGCACGGAGGAUUCGAAGACAAUGCUGGUUGUGAUGGCCCCAAGCAUCCAGGCUUCCACGGUGAAGUCUCUCCCAGAGGUCAUGAGCCCCCUUCUGCUAUCAUCGGCUUGCUCUGGCGCCUGGCAAGACUUGGAAUUUCUUCUCAACAGGGGACACGGUCAGCCGCAUCCUUCCAUGAAUUCUAGUACAAAAUUUCAUGACCUUCUCACGGCAUAUGGCUCCCACAGCUGCGGCGACAAAGGCGCAUCGAUGCAGAAAGCUUCUGAUGAUGUUGAAGCACUUCUGAACCUGCCUUCAGGUUCUACCGUGUCACUUCUGGACGGGGUCACCAUUGAAGGGGGCACUGCACUCCAUGUGGUGGCCACAUAUGGCGAGAGUGAUGGAUUCUUGAGGAGUGCUGACAUCAUCCAUAGUAAGGCAAGCCAUCUCCUGUUUGUGCGUAACAAGAAUGGUGACACGCCCCUGCACUGUGCUGCACGGGCCGGGAUGUCCCGAAUGGUCCGUCAUCUCAUCACUCUGGCCAGAGGCGAGAAUACAGGUGUUAACAGAGUGAAGGAACUCCUAGAAAUUGAAAACAGCCUUAAGGAGACAGCAUUGCAUCAAGCAGUCCGUAUUGGAAAUAAUGACAUAGUCAAGCUGCUAAUGGAGGAAAACUCGGAGUUGGCCAGUUUUCCGAAAGACGGCACUUCACCUCUGUACCUGGCCAUCUUGCUGGAAGAGGACAUCAUUGUUGAGACACUUUAUAAUGCGAGUCACAUGAAACUUUCCUACUCUGGGAAAAAUGGACAGAAUGCGCUGCAUGCUGCGGUUCUCCGAGGCACAGAGCUUACAAAAAAGCUCUUGGAAUGGAACAGUGAUCUCACUAUACAAAGGGAUGAAAACGGGAGUACGCCUCUCCAUUUUGCUGCAGCUCUGGCACAGCAAAGUCAGCGAGGAAGUAUAUGUUGGCAAGUAUUGGAAGCGAACUCAGCUGCAUUGUAUCAGUCAGAUUGCAACGGAUUAUUUCCAAUACACGUUGCUGCCUCUGUUGGUGAAAGUGGGACAGUAACUAUGUUCCUUAACAAGUCUCCGAGCAGUGCUGGUUUGCAGGACAGUAUGGGAAGGACAUUCCUUCAUGUAGCUGCUGAGAAAAGGAAAGUUAGAAUAGUCAGUUCUGCUUGCAGAAAUCAAUCACUCUUAUGGAUUCUUAAUAUCCAAGACAAUGAUGGGAACACUGCACUACACCUAGCUAUCCAGGCACGGAGUCUUCGAAUGUUUUGUGCUUUGUUAGGGAAUCGACAAACACAUUUGAAUUUAUCAAAUAAUAUGGGGCAAACUCCUCUAGAUAUAUCACCAUAUGGGGUUCCCCCAGGAUUUUUUGAUGAACAGAACAGUGAAGCGAAGAUACACUUUGCACUGACAGUUGUUAAUGCUAGGAGUGGUGGCAGUCGUCGUGAUCACUUUGAAGAAAACUACACUCGUCAGUUAAAAUAUGAUGAAACGGAACAAUUAGAAAAGUUGAAAGAACCAACACAAACACUAUGUAUUGGUGUGGCUCUAGUUGCAACUGCGACGUUUACUGUUACUUUUGCCCUUCCUGGAGGUUACAGAGCUGAUGAACAUAUUAAUGGAGGAACACCAACACUUGCCGGGAGGUAUGCAUUUGAUGCAUUCAUAAUAGCCAGCACAUUCUCCUUCGUCUUGUCUGUGAUGGCUAUGAUAGGUCUCAUGUAUUCUGGAUACUCUAUUUUAAACCCACAGACUCGUAGAAUUUACUUGAUCGCAGCCUUGUAUUUUGGGUCAACAUCGGGCACAUGCUUCCUAGCAACUUUUGCAUUAGGUUUGUACAUGGUGCUAGCACGGGUUGCUCACAAGUCCGCCAUUGCUAUCUGCGUCAUUAGCCCUCUUGCUGUUAUAUGCAAACAAAUGGACCUUUGGUUAAAGUGGGCUCUUCUGGCACAACCAUUAUGUACCCGAAUUGGGCUAACUCGUACACUGGUAAUGGUGACAACGAGAAUCCUUUUCAGCAUGUUGAUGGAAUUUUGGCCCAUAAUAUUCAUUUUUGUUUGGGCCACAUAUACAAGCAACCAGUUUUAG
rnacentral:rRNA from 1 species